rnacentral:rRNA from 1 species
UGAACGUUACCAAACUGUUGCCUCGGCGGGGUCACGCCCCGGGUGCGUCGCAGCCCCGGAACCAGGCGCCCGCCGGAGGAACCAACCAAACUCUUUCUGUAGUCCCCUCGCGGACGUAUUUCUUACAGCUCUGAGCAAAAAUUCAAAAUGAAUCAAAACUUUCAACAACGGAUCUCUUGGUUCUGGCAUCGAUGAAGAACGCAGCGAAAUGCGAUAAGUAAUGUGAAUUGCAGAAUUCAGUGAAUCAUCGAAUCUUUGAACGCACAUUGCGCCCGCCAGUAUUCUGGCGGGCAUGCCUGUCCGAGCGUCAUUUCAACCCUCGAACCCCUCCGGGGGAUCGGCGUUGGGGAUCGGGACCCCUCACACGGGUGCCGGCCCCGAAAUACAGUGGCGGUCUCGCCGCAGCCUCUCCUGCGCAGUAGUUUGCACAACUCGCACCGGGAGCGCGGCGCGUCCACGUCCGUAAAACACCCAACUUUCUGAAAUGUUGACCUCGGAUCAGGUAGGAAUACCCGCUGAACUUAAGCAUAUCAAUAGC